GGAGAAGGGCGCUCGGCACACAGAUUCCUUUGCCUCUUCCUCAAGCCCACACGCAACCUUGCGACCUAUCUCUCUCCCCUGUGCUCUUCGCCGCCGCCGCCGCCGCCCUGCCUCACCCCAUCUCCUUCCCUUGGCCGGCGCUCCACCCAUCCGCUCUCCCCACCGCCCCCUCUCAUCUCUCACAUCGCCUCCUCCUCCUCUCGCGCCUCGCCUUCCACGCCGUCGCCGCCACUAUCGCCGCUCCUCCUCUUCUUCCUUGUGCCCCUUCCAUCCCCUCUUGUGGCGGACGAUCCUCUCGACGAUGGAUGUGGGAGAGGGAGAAUCCGGGAAGGUGGGCGGGUCCGGGUCAACAUAGGGUCGAUUUCGAGGCCUCUCAUGGCCGCGCCCACACCACCUGUGCUUCUCCCCUCCUGCGGCGCAGCUGCUGCUUCUGGAGCUCUGUUCGGAAAGGAAUACGUCUAGCCGCCGGCCAAUGGAAGGCCCUCAUCGGCCUCCAAUCCCAUGCAUCCAGCCCCUGAUUCGUGCACGCGGCAAAACGGCCGCUGCUGCCGGAGCGCCCUUCGUCAGCGAGGAGGCCCAGAGUGACACCGCCGCCGGCGCCGGUGCUCCCCAACGUAGCCACUCCGACGACGGCCAGGAUUGUUACUGUCUGUCUCAAGUUCCUUGAAGUAACGUACAUGCACAUGCCCGCGUCUGAUUUGUUCUCGUGGUCGUGUUCCUGCCGUAGCUGCGUCCACGGUUGUGCAGGUUUAGCCCUCCUUUCUUUAAUCCCCUUUUUUGUUUACCCUCAUUUAUCUUGUAUUGUUCGUGAGAGAGGCUAGGCCUACUGUCCUCUUUCCAGGUGAGGCGUUUGUUGCCUUGCUUAAUUUUGUUUAUUAGAUAUUGCCUGCCUAUGCUUCAUCCUAUUUUUGUAGUGAGAUCUAUUGUUUACAUAUGUGCUGAUUUUUGCGACUAAGGAGACUGUCAGUUCUGUCAAUGACGCUAAAUACUUGCAGUUAGGAAAUAACAGUCCCCAUAUCGGAAGGCUUUUCGUCGAAAAAUAUUGGAAGGCUUGUUUAUUUUGUCUUGGGUCAAAAAAUAUUGGAAGGCUUAUAUUUGUUUACAGAGGGAGUAGUAAAUAAGAAGGCUAGCUUAGGUUCUAAGAAUUGUUGAAACAUACUAUAUACUCCUAACGGAAAUAUAAAACAAAGACAUGGACAAUUUAUUCCUGCUAUGUGAUGAGAAGCACUAUUUUAAUACUCCCUCCGGUCCUUUUUAGUUCGCAUAUUAGAUUUGUCUGAAGUCAAGGCUCGUAAAGUUUGACCAACUUUAUAGAAAAAAAUACCAACAUUCACAAUGUGAAAUCAAUACUAGUAGAUGCGUCAUGCCUUAAAGUUUCAUGUUGUAUAACUUUUUCAUGGUAGAUGUUGAUAUUUUUUCAUAUAAAUAUGGUCAAACUUUGUAAAGUUUGACUUCAGACAAUUCUUAUAUGCAGAGUAAAAAGGACCGGAGGGAGUAGAUAUGGAAAUGCUUAUUUGAAUUAUAUUUCUGCUUUGCCAUGCUUGCCAAUAUCCACUUCUGCUGCAAGUGCUUCUAUAAUUGCAACUUCAGGAAGUGUGUGGUUUGAAGAUAUGAGAUGUGGUUCUUACAUAAAUGUUUUAAUGGGAACUUAUGAAUUAGAAGGGAAUAAUUGCCUUGCCUUAGCAAAGUUCGUGUAAGGAAAAUGAUUGCCUCAGCUAACACUAUAAUUAUAGGAAAGAUAGAUGCAAAUUCAAGAACUUAAUAAGAUGAUUUUUUUUCCUUCCAGAACAAUGGUCUUUUUGUGCCAGGGACUAACAUAUUUCAUAGGAGACAUGAUUUAUAUCUUUUAGGACCAGUACAAUUUUCAUACAAUCAUGGUUUUAUCUUUUGAAGUCGGUACAUUUUUCAUUUAUUGUUUUAUUCCCCUGAAUGUUUGCCUAAGCGGAUAGCUGCUAUUCACUGUAUCUUUUGUCAGAUGGCUUCUAUCACCCUUGCUGAUCUAUGUUGUGGAAGACAAAAUCAAAUGCUAUGUGUCUGGGUGUCUCGGCUUGGUUUAGUUUUAUUAAUGUCUCGCCAAGCAUGAUGGAUGCUUGCCGAAAGGGGCAUUGUCUGUACUUUUCAUAGUGCAAAACGGCAUGUUAUGGCAAGAUUGAUUGUUUGGUAGAAUGAUUACUCCUGCAUUAUAGCGCUACCUAUGAAAAUUGAAAGGAAGAGUUGUGGUGGUAUCACGUGGAUGAUUUUCUGAUUAUUAGUUUGCCUCAAUGAUUUGUUCAAUAUUGGAGGGUCAUUUGCUGAGACUUGGUUUGUGCCAUGACAUUCUUUUGAAUUGCUAAUACACUUUUCUUUGUGAUAUUUCUUUAUAUUUGCCUAUGAAAAAAGGCGCUACGUAAAUUCCAGUUUUACCUGAGAUAAACUAAUGGUGUUGUAUCUCGUCUGUCCUGUUGAAUAGAAGGAAUCAAGGAAAUGAUGACGUUAGUCUUGAUCUGGGAAAGUGUUCAGUUCAAGUAUAGGAUAUAUGCCAUUGAUACCAGUACAACACGGUUUUUGUUUGUUGCAAGGUAGCCUCUCUUUUUUAUUUUCUGGUUCCUCAGACCAUUACCUUUUCUUCUUUAGAACUUACUCCAAGUGACAAGUACUGAUAAGCAUAUCCCUCGGAUCACUACCUUUCCUUUAGAACACACACAACAUAUCCAGACACACUCGGGUAUCACCCUCUCAUACACAUGGGUAAUACCCUCUAUCUCUAACAGUAUGUAGACAUAUCUUCUCUUUGCCUGUUCAAUUUCUUUCUCGUUGCUCUUCAGUUGAUCAAUUAGAACAUGGUACCCCAUGCCCACGAUAUACUCAUCGUCACUGCUCCGAUUCGCCCGACCCCAACGACUCAGCUACUUCCUAUCACCACCUGGUACUCCUCUUUGCCUGAUGCUCCUGCGCUGCUUAUUGUGCUCGCCGUUGCUGAUGUAUUUAGUUUCAUGCAUUAUAGUUCAGUGGGUGUCAAGAAGACCUGGUAGAUUUUAGUAAAAUGACCUAUAUAUUGGUUUCAGAACAUAGCGAGACUAUGUCCUAAUAUAUUUGGCUACUUUUAUCUUUUUGCAUCAGUUCUGAGUGGUAUAUGGAAUAUGGGGUUUGCAAAGUUAAAUAGUGAGACAACAUUUUAUGUAGUAAUUGUACCCUGGUGCAAUAGUUGUUUUGAUCCAAUUCCAUUAAUAGGUUAGCUUACGUUAAUGAUAUGGGAACUCUGAAGAAAAUUCUGUAUGGCCGAUCCAUAUUUAUGAGUUGUGCAUGUGCGGUAUGGUUGGUUGUUUAUGCAUUCUUGCUCUUUAGACCUAUGUUGGGCGACGAUACCAUUUGGUACAGAACAUAACUUGAACACCCAUGCUGCUUCUUAUAUCUUUACACUUCAAUCAUUCAAUUUUUUCUUGAUGCUCUUUAUGUUAUUUUCAGGAGCAAUUUAAGAUUGAAAAGGAUGAUGGGAGGAUGCAACUGACACAGGAUAGCGAGCAAUGGCCAUGGCUCAACGACGGCGGAGAAGAUGGUGCAGUGUCUUGGCUGGGGUUCGAUAUGAUGUGUGACCUGAGGCAAGCUCUACAAUGACUCUACUCCUUUGGAGAUCACAUGUCUUUUGUAGCAUGUUAGGCUUUGAUUUCAAUUCAAUGAUGUGCUCUGUUAUCAACCUUGUAAAACUGUCACCUAUUUGAUAAUAUGGACCUAACCUUGCUAUGCCUGAUGAUUGAACAUUUUUUGUUAAGCUUGUUUAACUCUAUUCA